ACGGACUAAACAGCAGAGGAAAGCACUGUAGACACAGUGUUUUUCACCAUUGCCAAACUCAAGUUUGAAACAAAAGUGCAAAUGAAUCCUCUUCAUUAACUUCAAACCGAAACACUGGACAUUAAAAACACGCAAGAGAAUGAACACUGCCUGAAGACCAAAGACUGUGCUCAUAAUUUCUGACAGUACAAGCUGAUACCAUUUGGUAAGGAGCAACUGCAGCAACAUGGAAGGAUUAAUACGAGAGCUAGCCAGAUCCUUGUGAAACUCUAGGGGAGAACAGUAUUAGGAUUCCUCCUUGAUCUGAGUCAUUCUUGUGGAAACUCCAAACUUCCUCACUUACUCAUAAACCAGGGAGCAAGAGUGCUGAAUUUGCAAUGUGAAUCCUUGAAAAGCACUUUGUAACAAUUUUGCUGGAAACUACUGUUGCUCCAAAUGUUUCCUAAGGAAGAUCAUGAUCAAUGUCCAGUGGAGCCUGGAGCGAUGGUAAGAGCUGUACAGGGG